GGACGUGAGGGCAACCUGGCUGUGAGGUCUGUCAUGCCAUUCAUCCCUGGGGCGAAUCUGGCUGAUCUGGCCAGCGAGGUGGGUGUCCCCUUCCUCCCUCACCGCUCUGUGUGCGUCCGUCCUGAAGCUCUCCCCUGGGUCAAAGACAGCAACCUUCCCCCUUAGAGGAAAGCUGUCCUUUGGUCACGGGCAGAAAAGGAGCUGUGCUCUCCUACUAGAACCUCCAAGCAAGUUCUCAAGAGUGUUUCCUGUAGUACCCAGGACAUACACUGUCUGGGAUCGUCUUAAAUACUACCAUUCCACCUACUCCUUGGUACGUGUCUGGUUCGUGUCUGGU
rnacentral:snRNA from 1 species